GGGAAAAAAACUUUAAAUAAUAAUAAUUUUUUUAUGAAGUAAGGCUUCAGGUUUAUACGGUAAUCUUUUAAAUACUAUUAUUAAGCUAAGUAGCACUAUAUGUGUGUGAAAAAUCUAGCAUAGUAAAUUUUGGUUAAUUCACUCUUUAUUAUGUUUUUUCUUUUAAAUAACCUAAUCUAAUUGAAAACCAAACUUUUCUAAAAAUACGAAUCAAAUUGAAAAAUAAAAUAAAUUAAUUUAAUUUGAUUUUUCGAUUCAAAUUGAUUUUUGUUCACUCUUACUCCGCAAAAUCUAAGAAAAAUGAAGAUAAAUUAAAAUAAAACCAAUAUUGAAAUAAGAUCUUUACCUCUCUUUCUAUGGUAUGUGUUCUGGAAUAGAGUGGGGCCAAAGUUCAUAAUCCGGUUAGUUGAUUAGCAGAUUAAUAGAGUUGGUAUCCAUGAUAAUAAUCCAUUUAUUCAGGAUUUGAGGUUUAGGAGUGGACCUGAGAAAUGGAUUAGGUGGCCAAAACCUACAAUCUUACCUUCCAUUAUGGGAAAUCCAUUAAACUGAUCCUCUUAAAGCAUAACCAAGAACAAACCAAUUAAAACAAACUUGAAAGAGGUUCAUCUGUGCAUGAUGCUGUGUAGGAUAAUAUUCUGCGUUGCAGUUUCUAUAUCCAUACUGUUAGUAAUUCUCUUGUCAGUGUUUUCUCCAGCACCUCACAAGGCUUCAUCACAGGAUCCCUCCGGGCCUUGGGUGGCACUCUCACUGUACAUUCAGCAACCUGAUCACAUUUCAAGCUCCAACUUGCAGCCAGCACUACGCCCGGAUGCUGGAGCUUUUAUUUUCCAUCGCAUACUCACAGAAGGACCUGAGAACACUUCCAGGGUUAUUGGGAAAGCACAAGGUUUCAUUAUUCCAAUUGAACAUUUUGCACACUCUGCUUUCAAUAUUAUUCAUCUCUCAUUUGAUACACCUCACUACUCGGGCAGCCUGAAUUUGCAGGCCAAGCAUGUAGCACAUAAAGAUAGAGAAGAACUUACAGUGGUUGGUGGAACUGGUUCGUUCGCAUUUGCUCGUGGGCUUGCUGUUUUUGCUCAGACGGAUGGUCUUUCUGCAACUUACUACGUAAAUCUUCAGCUUAGAUUUCCAGAUCGAUCUGAGACAAUUCCAGGAUGAGGCUGAGUUUUUCUAGUCAGGUUUAUGAAUCCUCUUCCGCUGUCCAUACUUGCCAACUUUUUAUUCUUGAGAUUGCAACUCUAGUUCUGUCAGAUUGAGUGAGUCAAAUUCAGAUGAAAUUGAAUUUGUAAUUCCAGGAUGUGAUUAAUUUACCUUUUAGUCUGUACAAGAAAAUUUAAGCCAACUAUGUAAUUUAACUUCAAAUAUUAUUUAUGAUCUGUG
rnacentral:misc_RNA from 1 species